rnacentral:lncRNA from 1 species
ACAAGUCAGAGUUGUCAAAUCUCCAGAGGCAAAUGGGACAAGGAGGUCAGCACCAGGAGCAUAGACAGGUGACUCUGUCUAUGAAGUGGCAGAUACUUGGCAGGGUUAUGAUGUUACUUGGAAGCUGUGACAGGUAGGGUGACAGGCACUGAUUGCUGGAUAACCAUGAUGGCUGGGAGCUUCAGAGGGCCUUAUGAAAUAGGACAGGUACUUGGGGAAGAGUCAAGACUUUCGCUUAAAGAAUGUUUCCCGUGGGAAGUGGGCCAACUGGAAAAUUUCUGAGAACCAAGGACAUGAAGUGGAGCCAUGGGGA